rnacentral:rRNA from 1 species
AACGAACGCUGGCGGCAGGCCUAACACAUGCGAGUCGAGCGCCCUUUCGGGGGAGCGGCGGACGGGUGAGUAACGCGUGGGAAUAUGCCCUUCUCUACGGAAUAGCCUCGGGAAACUGAGAGUAAUACCGUAUACGCCCUAUGGGGGAAAGAUUUAUCGGGGAAGGAUUAGCCCGCGUUGGAUUAGGUAGUUGGUGGGGUAGUGGCCUACCAAGCCGACGAUCCAUAGCUGGUUUGAGAGGAUGAUCAGCCACACUGGGACUGAGACACGGCCCAGACUCCUACGGGAGGCAGCAGUGGGGAAUCUUAGACAAUGGGGGCAACCCUGAUCUAGCCAUGCCGCGUGAGUGAUGAAGGCCUUAGGGUUGUAAAGCUCUUUCAGCUGGGAAGAUAAUGACGGUACCAGCAGAAGAAGCCCCGGCUAACUCCGUG